UACGGGGGGGGGCAAGCGUUGUUCGGAAUCACUGGGCGUAAAGCGCACGUAGGCGGAUGUGUCAGUCAGGGGUGAAAUCCCGGAGCUCAACUUCGGAACUGCCUUUGAUACAGCACGUCUUGAGUCCGAUAGAGGUGGGUGGAAUUCCUAGUGUAGAGGUGAAAUUCGUAGAUAUUAGGAAGAACACCGGUGGCGAAGGCGGCCCCACUGGAUCGGUACUGACGCUGAGGUGCGAAAGCGUGGGGAGCAAACAGG
rnacentral:rRNA from 1 species